AGACACCUACGUAUUCCUGCGUCUGCUGUGCAACCACUUCAUCAUCAGAGUAAUCCACAAUGGCGUAGGCGGCGUUUCCGGGCCGAUGCCCGACCCCCACGCCCAGCAACCGUUCCGAUAGCCCACUGUUCCGAACCGCCGGUGGUCCACGCCCCAUACAGAUUGUACACUAGCGGGCAGGAAGCACAAGCCCCUCCCAGUAGAGAACCAGACCGGCGUUAGUAUUCCGCCGUGGGGCGUCCGGUCGGCAGCCUAAAGACAUAAAAGGAAUUUCCGGGGACCCGCACAAGCAGUGGAUUGUGUUCUCUAAUGCGAUGAUAAACGAAGAGCCUUACCAGGGUUGGACAUCCCAAGAAUUAUGUGGAAAGACGUGAGUGCUUUAUUGAACUUGGUGACAGGUGAUGCAUGGCCGUCGUCAGCUCGUGUCGUGAGAUGUUCGGUUAAGUCCAUCAACGAGCGCAACCCUUGUCAGUAGUUGGAUUUUUCUACUGAGACUGCCCCGGCAACGGGGAGGAAGGAGGGGAUGAUGUCAGGUCAGUAUUUCCCUUACAUCCUGGGCUAGAAACGCAAUACAAUGGCGAGUACAAUGCGCAGCGAAGCGGCAACGUGAAGCAAAUCGCAUCAAAGCUCGUCCCAGUUCGGAUUAGAGGCUGAAACUCGCCUCUAUGAAGUCGGAAUCGCUAGUAAUCGCAGAUCAGCAAGCUGCGGUGAAUACGUUCCCGGGUCUUGUACACACCGCCCGUCAAACCAUGAAAGUGACCAACACCCGAAGUCCGAUUCGUCGGCCUAAGGUGGGGGGCAUGAUUGGGGUUAAGUCGUAACAAGGUAAAUGCCA
rnacentral:rRNA from 1 species